UCCGGUUUGUCACCGGCAGUUUCCCAAGAGUGCGCCCCUUGCGGGGGUGGCAACAUGGGAUAAGGGUUGCGCUCGUUGCGGGACUUAACCCAACAUCUCACGACACGAGCUGACGACAACCAUGCAGCACCUCUACUGGCUCCCUUGCGGGUCAUUCCUAUUUCUAGGUUUUACCACCAGCUCUUCAAGCCCAGGUAAGGUUUUUCGUGUUGCGUCGAAUUAAACCACAUACUCCACCGCUUGUGCGGGCCCCCGUCAAUUCCUUUGAGUUUCAACCUUGCGGCCGUACUCCCCAGGCGGUUCACUUAAUGCGUUAGCUUCGGCGCGGAAGGGGUCGAUACCACCCACACCUAGUGAACAUCGUUUACAGCUAGGACUAC
rnacentral:misc_RNA from 1 species